UUAGGAAUCUUCCACAAUGGGCGAAAGCCUGAUGGAGCGACGCCGCGUGAGGGAUGAAGGUUUUCGGAUCGUAAACCUCUGAAUCUGGGACGAAAGACGCGACAAGCGGGAUGACGGUACCAGAGUAAUAGCACCGGCUAACUCCGUG
rnacentral:rRNA from 1 species